rnacentral:rRNA from 1 species
UACGUAGGGGGCAAGCGUUGUCCGGAAUCAUUGGGCGUAAAGCGCACGUAGGCGCCCGAUCAGUCCGCUGUGAAAGUCAAAGGCUCAACCUUUGAAUGCCGGUGGAUACUGUCGGGCUAGAAUUCGGAAGAGGCGAGUGGAAUUCCUGGUGUAGCGGUGAAAUGACGUAGAGAUCGGGAGGAAGGCCGGUGGCGAAGGCGGCGCUCUGGAACGUACCUGACGCUGAGACACGAAAGCGU